ensembl:lncRNA
UGUGUCGGGGCUCUGGCGCAUCAUAAACCACACGCGCUCCCCGGAGCCCGGGGGGCCAGAAGCCGAGCGGAGGGCAUGAGGCGAGCGGGCAGACCCUUCCCCAAAUGCUUUCCCGCCCCGACUGGACUCCGUCGGGCCUGCGGACCCCGAGGAGGCGCGCGUGACAAGGUAGCGAGCGCCCCCUGCCGCCGCCCGCCUGCGAGCUUGUCCUCGGCCACCGAGGACCCGAACGGCGUCGCUGAGAAGGCUCCCAAGCCUGGGGUCAAGCAAGUGCUCAGAGCCUGGGAUUGCCGACUUCAGCUUUCUUGUUUCUCCUGCACAUGCCUCAGUUUCCCCUAUUAAGGGCAAAGAGAGAAAAUGUAGGUUUCAGGGGCAGCUUGCAAGGAAAGAGCUGUGCAGUGACCCUCUCCCUGCUCCAGUCUUGCUGAUGGCGCCCGCCCCAUGCAUGCUGCACACCCCUCUUGAAGUGGCCCUGGAAAGUACAGCUGAGGGCCUUCGUGCUGGCUGUUCUUUCCCCAGAUGGCCCCAGGAUAGCAGCGUCCUGCCAUUCAGGUGAAAUGCCAUCAACACACGCUCCCCUCUUCCAUCACUUGUCAAUCCCAGAUGCUUUAUUGGCCUGUUUACUGUCCAUUCCUCUCCCCAUCCCGAAUAAACUCCGGAAGAAUAAAAAGCCUGCCUUG